ACAAAACUGGAGGCAGUUCCCCCUUUCUAGGAUCUCCGUUCAUCUCCUGAGGCCGCACAUCUGCACACACCAUCCUCACUGGGCAGCUACUACUUCGUGACACAAAGUGCCAGGCACCGCACUUGACGCUUUACCCACGCUGUUUCCAUUGGUUUUGCACAAAAGCUCUACGAGGGCUGCUGUGGGGACCAAUAUGAGCUGAGAGCUCUGCCAGGCACCCUACAUGAUAUACCUGGAAGGGAGCGUCCUUCUGCGGCCUGAACCUGAAGCUCUUCAGAGGGACCCAUGCUGGGCUGUGAAGGAAGUGACUCACCUUGGAGGAGCAAGGGCAGGUCACAUUCCAUGAUGAGAAAUUCUCACACCACCCUCCUUCAUAUUUGACUCACAUCAUGCAGCAUGGACUUCCACUCCAGUAAAUGAGUCCUCAUUUGUGGGCUUAAAAAUCUUUUUGUUACCCAGCUAUUUGCUUCUUGUCAACGCUACUUCCUGAAUAAAGGUCUUCCCUGAUAGUAGGAACAA